GAUGAACGCUGGCGGCGUGCCUAAUACAUGCCAGUCGAGCGAACAGACGAGGAGCUUGCUCCUCUGACGUUAGCGGCGGACGGGUGAGUAACACGUGGAUAACCUACCUAUAAGACUGGGAUAACUUCGGGAAACCGGAGCUAAUACCGGAUAAUAUAUUGAACCGCAUGGUUCAAUAGUGAAAGACGGUUUUGCUGUCACUUAUAGAUGGAUCCGCGCCGCAUUAGCUAGUUGGUAAGGUAACGGCUUACCAAGGCGACGAUGCGUAGCCGACCUGAGAGGGUGAUCGGCCACACUGGAACUGAGACACGGUCCAGACUCCUACGGGAGGCAGCAGUAGGGAAUCUUCCGCAAUGGGCGAAAGCCUGACGGAGCAACGCCGCGUGAGUGAUGAAGGUCUUCGGAUCGUAAAACUCUGUUAUUAGGGAAGAACAAAUGUGUAAGUAACUAUGCACGUCUUGACGGUACCUAAUCAGAAAGCCACGGCUAGCUACGUG
rnacentral:rRNA from 1 species